rnacentral:rRNA from 1 species
GACGAACGCUGGCGGCGUGCCUAAUACAUGCAAGUUGAGCGCUGAAGGUUGGUACUUGUACCAACUGGAUGAGCAGCGAACGGGGGAGUAACGCGUGGGGAAUCUGCCUUUGAGCGGGGGACAACAUUUGGAAACGAAUGCUAAUACCGCAUAAAAACUUUAAACACAAGUUUUAAGUUUGAAAGAUGCAAUUGCAUCACUCAAAGAUGAUCCCGCGUUGUAUUAGCUAGUUGGUGAGGUAAAGGCUCACCAAGGCGAUGAUACAUAGCCGACCUGAGAGGGUGAUCGGCCACAUUGGGACUGAGACACGGCCCAAAAUCCUACGGGAGGCAGCAGUAGGGAAUCUUCGGAAAUGGACGAAAGUCUGACCGAGCAACGCCGCGUGAGUGAAGAAGGUUUUCGGAUCGUAAAACUCUGUUGGUAGAGAAGAACGUUGGUGAGAGUGGAAAGCUCAUCAAGUGACGGUAACUACCCAGAAAGGGACGGCUAACUACGUG